CCUCAAUAUAAUUGAUACCUUUACGUGGUAUUGAGGAUAAGUAACUAAAAUUAGUGAAACUAAACUCAAU
rnacentral:ribozyme from 1 species